rnacentral:rRNA from 1 species
UAGCUUGCUACUGGACCUAGCGGCGGACGGGUGAGUAAUGCUUAGGAAUCUGCCUAUUAGUGGGGGACAACAUUCCGAAAGGAAUGCUAAUACCGCAUACGUCCUACGGGAGAAAGCAGGGGACCUUCGGGCCUUGCGCUAAUAGAUGAGCCUAAGUCGGAUUAGCUAGUUGGUGGGGUAAAGGCCUACCAAGGCGACGAUCUGUAGCGGGUCUGAGAGGAUGAUCCGCCACACUGGGACUGAGACACGGCCCAGACUCCUACGGGAGGCAGCAGUGGGGAAUAUUGGACAAUGGGGGGAACCCUGAUCCAGCCAUGCCGCGUGUGUGAAGAAGGCCUUAUGGUUGUAAAGCACUUUAAGCGAGGAGGAGGCUACUAGUAUUAAUACUACUGGAUAGUGGACGUUACUCGCAGAAUAAGCACCGGCUAACUCUGUGCCAGCAGCCGCGGUAAUACAGAGGGUGCGAGCGUUAAUCGGAUUUACUGGGCGUAAAGCGUGCGUAGGCGGCCAUUUAAGUCAAAUGUGAAAUCCCCGAGCUUAACUUGGGAAUUGCAUUCGAUACUGGAUGGCUAGAGUAUGGGAGAGGAUGGUAGAAUUCCAGGUGUAGCGGUGAAAUGCGUAGAGAUCUGGAGGAAUACCGAUGGCGAAGGCAGCCAUCUGGCCUAAUACUGACGCUGAGGUACGAAAGCAUGGGGAGCAAACAGGAUUAGAUACCCUGGUAGUCCAUGCCGUAAACGAUGUCUACUAGCCGUUGGGGCCUUUGAGGCUUUAGUGGCGCAGCUAACGCGAUAAGUAGACCGCCUGGGGAGUACGGUCGCAAGACUAAAACUCAAAUGAAUUGACGGGGGCCCGCACAAGCGG